rnacentral:rRNA from 1 species
GGGGAAUUGUUCGCAAUGGGCGCAAGCCUGACGACGCAACGCCGCGUGGAGGACGAAGAUCUUCGGGUCGUAAACUCCUGUCGAGCGGGAAGAACGCUUCCCGGGUGAAUAUCCUGGGGACUUGACGGUACCGCCCAAGGAAGCCCCGGCCAACUACGUGCCAGCCGCCGCGGUACUACGUAGGGGGCGAGCGUUGUCCGGAUUUAUUGGGCGUAAAGAGCUCGUAGGCGGUUUGGUAAGUCGGGUGUGAAAUCUCCACGCUCAACGUGGAGGGGCCACUCGAUACUGCCAGGACUCGAGUCCGGUAGAGGAGUGUGGAAUUCCCGGUGUAGCGGUGAAAUGCGCAGAUAUCGGGAGGAACACCCGUAGCGAAGGCGGCACUCUGGGCCGGAACUGACGCUGAGGAGCGAAAGCGUGGGGAGCAAAC